rnacentral:sRNA from 1 species
AACGGCAACGACCCGAAGGGCGAAGCGCGCAGCGCUGAGUAAUCCUUCCCCCACCACCA